CAGCCACUAGCUGGGACCCUAGCAAGCAGUCUGUACUAGUUUUAAUCGCUAUUGUCUGUAGGGAUAAAAUAAGGAAGUUGAGUCUACAGAAUGCUUGCUGUAUCCUGAAGGUCAGAAGAACAAGUUCAAGUCAAAGGGUGCAAGGUAAACGCAGUGUGAGGGUCAACCAUACAAGGUAAAUGCAGUGUGAGGGUCAACCAUACAAGGUAAAUGCAGUGUGAGGGUCAACCAUACAAGGUAAAUGCAGUGUGAGGGUCAACCAUACAAGGUAAAUGCAGUGUGAGGGUCAACCAUACAAGGUAAAUGCAGUGUGAGGGUCAACCAUACAAGGUAAAUGCAGUGUGAGGGUCAACCAUACAAGGUAAAUGCAGUGUGAGGGUCAACCAUACAAGGUAAAUGCAGUGUGAGGGUCAACCAUACAAGGUAAAUGCAGUGUGAGGGUUAACCAGGUUCUUUCCUACUGUCUUUCUUUUCCAUACAGAGCCCAGAGUGAGUGGAGGUUGGAAGGGCUGCUCCUGUGUGGAGGUCAGCUGACCUCAGCAG